UACAGGGGAUGCAAGUGUUAUUCGGAAUCAUUGGGCGUAAAGCGUCUGUAGGUGGGCAAUUAAGUCUUUUGUUAAAUCUUUAGGCUUAACCUAAAGUGUGCAAAAGAAACUAGUUGCCUAGAGUCUGUUAGAGGUAAAGGGAAUUUCCAGUGGAGCGGUGAAAUGUGUAGAUAUUGGAAGGAACACCAAAGGCGAAGGCACUUUACUGGGCCAGUACUGACACUGAGAGACGAAAGCUAGGGGAGCAAACAGG
rnacentral:rRNA from 1 species